rnacentral:lncRNA from 1 species
GACAGCAGAGUUCAGGCUUAACCCUUAACCUCUUCGGGCUCAGAGGACCCUGGGCAGGAGUGAUUUAAGAACACCAUCCUCCCGCCAAGGCCAAGAGAGACUUGAAAUGUAGACGCGGAGGCCUAUGGGAAAUGUAGUUUUAAAUAGGUGAGGUUCACCGCCUGGACUCUGGGAAGGGGACGCCACGCUCCUUCUGCGCAUGUGCAGCCGUAGCCUCCUCGUUCGUCUUCUCAGGACCCCAGAGAACCGUUGGGGAACUUUGGGGUGUGCUCGGAAAAUGCAGGGUGCGCACCUAGGGCGAGGGACUAGCUGGGAAGGGUGUGCCUGUGCUUGGGGAUGGGAGCAGGAAGUGUCUGGGACCCCGUCCCCCUCCCGCGGCGGUGUAUAAACCCGGGCGGGCCGUCAGAGCGGAGCUUCACAGCAGAGACAAGAGCCCAGAAAGGAGCAGAUGCUAGAUUUGCAAGAUCAGAAGCAGGUCUUGAUCCCCCUGCCCAGGAUGAACCAGACUUGAUGAUGCCACCUUCAGGAGCCACCACACUGUGUGACAGUGGGGCAUUUGGGUCGUCCCUGGGAAGAACAGAUGCGCUGCUGUCACACAUGUCCACCACCACAUGUGACAUUAGUGACGUUAUCCUGAUGUCACAGGAUCCAAGAAUGAUGAUCUGUGAAGAGUUUUCCAAGGUCACCUACUUCUAACUCUUUUGAAAGAUUUAAAGACAUUGGGCCUGAAAAUUUCUGUGACUUGUCCAGGGAAACGCAGUUUGUGACAGUUCACUCUCUCACAGCUGAACCACAGUCCUCUGUACUCGCCCAGGAGCCACAGAGAGUGAACAUCCCUCAGAGGUUAAAAAGACUAAAUCAGGAGCAGAUUCUCGUGGGGGAUAGGAGAGAAGAUAGUGAACAACAACCACCACAACGACUGGAGCAAUGUGUUGCUCACUGAAGUCAGUCUGGCCACUUAUUGACUGAUUGUAACCAAAUGAUGCGAAGAGGCUGGAGAAAGAAAUUACAGGAACAUUCUUGGAUCACUCACAGCUGUAGUGACAGACGGAAGAACUGGAUCACACUAGCAAUUUUAUGCUAGUAAAUCAUGCAUAGAUGGUACCUUUUUAUAUUUAUUUACUCAUUUAAAUGCAGAAAAGGAAAGAAAUUGCUUAUUGUAUCUUCCAAUUGUCUAUUCACUUGAGAAGUUCUUGCAGUACUUUUUCUGUUGUGUUUUCUUAGCUUCUCUUGGGUUUCUUAGCUUCUCUCUGACCUCAGGGACAGGGGGCCAAAUUCUCAGACAGCUCCUUCUUUCUUUGAAUGUCCCAAUUUGAAUAAAGUUAUUUUAUGUCUCCAGUCAACAGGUCUUGCCUGUGUACUAUUUGGGCCAUUUCAGGCACAGAAACACAUAACUAUACAUAUGUAUAUUUGUGUGUAUAUAUAUCACAGCCAUUAAGAUUGUGAGCCCUGUAACUAGAAUGCUUCAGUUCUAAUUCUGGCUUUAUCAUUUACUAGCUGUGACUUUGUCAGUGGAUACAGAGAAACCACUUGACAAAAUUCAGCAUUAACUCAUGAUAAAAACUAUCAACACUAUGGGAAUAGAAUGGAACUUCCUUAGUUUGGUAAAAGGCUUCUUCAAAAAAACAGUGCCUAGGGGCCAGUGCUGUGGUGCAGUGGUUAAGUUCAUGUGCUCUGCUUCAUUGGCCCGGGGUUCACCAGUUUGGAUCCCAGGGACAGACCUAUGCAUCGCUCAUCAAGUCAUGCUGUGGCAGGCAUCCCACAGAUAAAAUAGUGGAAGACUGGUACAGAUGCUAGGUCAUGGCCAAUCUUCCUCAGCAAAAAGAGGAGAAUCGAUGGUGGAUGUUAGCUCCGGGCUGGUCUUCCUCAAAAAUAAAUAAAUAAAUAAAGUCAUAAUUUGAACUUUUGCAAAAUUAAAACAUUUACAGUCAUGCACCACGUAACAACAUUUCAGUCAAUGAUGGACUGUAUAUACAACAGUGGCCCCAUGAGAUUAGUAUCAUAUAGCCUAGAGGUGUAGUAGGCUAUACCAUCUGGGUUUGUGAAGUGCGCCCUGUGAUGUUCACACAAGGAUGAAAUUGCCGAAGGACGCAUUUCUCAGAACGUAUCCUAACCAUUAGACGAUGUGUGACCGUAUUAUACUAUUUCUUAUCUUUCAUAUCUCUAACAAGUAAGAGAUUGAUAAUGUCCAGUGAAAAAGCUAUGAAGAGGCAGGGAUAAGCCAACACUUUUCAUGAUGAAACAGCUCUGAAUUCAACAGGAACCCCACUGGAAUGGGACUGAAACUGUGGGCAUUUUUUGAAAUUAUAAAUCACUCCUAUUACUCUUGGGUUGUACUUCUCAUUGAUCAUUUCUAUACCUGUGGUUCUCAUCACAAUUCACCAUCUGGUCUCCACUGUUCUUGUGGGUGAUUAAAGAAAAGGUCUGUGACCACACUGAAACAAAGCAGCAAAGAGAACAGUGACAGUCUGAGGGAAGAUGCAUGUCCCGCAACGUCAGGAGGCAAGUGUGUUGAAAAGAGCAGAGGCCUGUGGAGAGAGUGGGCAGCACCAUUUGGAGCUGAAGACUCCGUACAGGACCAGUUUGUGAGAGACGAGAGCAUCUUCCUAAUGAAUCUGAUAUAUACUUAAAUAGGUAUCGUGGGAAGAAAUAAAUGAGUAGCAAAACGAGAUUCCCCACAGUGAAGCAGGAUGAAAACCUGAAUGAUUUUAUUUGUUAUGUUAACAUAAACAUAGUUUUAUAUUAAAAUUAUUGAAGGGAUAAUUAUUUUACAGUAGUUCAUUUUAAAAUUAUAGUUCAAAUGCAAAAAAAAAUAAAUUCCAUGACCGGAGCACAAACAAUAGAGUUGAAAAUAUCUUUCUAAAUUAAUUUCCUAUUUGGUGAGAAGAGAAAUGGCAAAAAAUGUAUGUGUCAAAUGCCACGAAAUGGGAAAAGAUUUUCAAUGAAUAAGGGAUGACAUUACACUUUGUGUCAAAGCCAAUUUGUUAGUUUCACCACUGUCAGGGGUUUGUGAACUCAGGGAUCUAGAUAAAGUGCCCCACAUUAAUCCCAGAAGAAGGACAGGAGGCUGCUGAUCAAUGGGGGCUUGCCUGAACUUGCUUAGAUGCACAGAACUGUGAACUCAAUGGGGCGUCAUAUCCUGAGUGUGUGUUUUCACAGGCUACACUUGACCAGUUUCCUUGCUUGGACUUUCUGACAAAUCAAAUACUUGGAUCACAUCUUCUAUCAGCAGCUGUAGUGAGCUUUUUGAAAAUAACUUGGAAGUGUUCCCCUAUAGAUGUGCCCCUAUAUAUUCAGCAGGAUAACUACUAUGAAAACUGAUCUUUGGUUGCUCAUUCAUCAAAUAUUUAUUGAGCAUCUAUUUUGGAAUAUAUCAGAAAAAUAGUCCAUAGUUGUUGGGUUUUUUUUUUUUAAUGAAUUUCUUGAGAAGCAGCACAGACAUUAAACUGAUUUUAUAGGAACUGGUUGGUGAAUAAAUGACUGGCAGGCCUCCAUUGCUCAAACUUACACCCAGGGCAGAAAUCUCUAACACAGACAAACAUUUUCCUCCCCAGGGAAGCUCCGCCACAACCUGUCACUUCCAGCCAUCUAGCCAAGUUGGCAUGAAAGAAAAAGACAAUUUCCAUCCUCUCAUAGUAAUUGUUUUUUUUUCUGUCACAUAAUUGGACAGAAUGUCAGAGAUAGUGGCUCUAAUUUUCUAUUUUUUAUAGUCUUUGAUAUGUUCUGGCAGCCAAAAAACAAAGCUAGUCCAACCAAAGCCCUGAUAUGACUUCUGGGACUAUAUUUUGGGCUGUCACAGCGGGAAUUGUCACUCUAUGAAAGCUGACACCUAUCACUUCUUUUUAGCUAAAUAGUAGGAAAGUGGUAUCUGUGUAUAUGUGUGUGUAUGUAUAUAUAUGUACAGUGAGUACAUCUGUUAUGUAGGUGUGCAAGUAUAUACACAUAUGUGUAUUUGUGCAUUAACAAUGUUCUAAGCUCUUUUCUGCCUAUAAUUACAUUUUACCCUCACUUCUUUUAAGAUUCUAUUCACAGGCCACUUCCUCAGGGAUGAACCACUUUUGUGAUCUCUGAACAUGAAAUAACAUUCUCCAUCUGUUUGCAUUGCCAUUGUUUUCUUCAUAGUGAUUCUCCUUAUCAUGCAUUCAUUCAUUUAUUUUACCAGCUGGUUUUGCCUCUAAAAUGUGCUCUUGGCAGGGGGGCUGGGUAUUUUCUGUGUCUUUUUCACCAUUAUGUCCCCAGAACCUAGAGUCAUACCUCACAUAGAUUCAAUAAUCAGUGAAUGUUUGCUAUAUAAAAUAUAUUGUGGGCAGUAUGGCAUGUUCUCUAUUUUGUUGAUGGUAAAGCAAAUUCAAAACUUGACCUGCUUAAGGCGCACAGCAAGGAAGUCAUACAAUCUCUUGACCUUGCUGCUUCUAUCUUGGCCCCUCCAAAGCUUAAUGUUGUUUUGUAUUUCUUGAUUUUAUUCCUGCAAAUACUGUUGGUAAAGACACUCAGCCAGAGAAAGUUCAAUAAAACUUGAUAUUUAGCAAUACUGUUAAAUAUAUGCGAAGUGGAAAAAAGAUUCAGUGGUAUUACCUUGAAAAGGAGACUAACAUUUUUAUGGCCAGCAGGAAAGUGAAUGAUAUGGACAAACUACCGAUGUGUGUGCCCUUGAUUGAUUUGCCUUAUAAGAAAGCUUAUUAACUCAAGAUUGCACUAAAGCAGAAAUUUUGGAGGCUCUGCUUUAUGCCUCUCUGCUUAGCACAUGCCAUAGGCUACUUCCAAAUCAUGAGUUUAUGGUUUAAUUGCUAGCACCUGCCAUCACGACAAUCCUUGUAAUUGCCACUGGAAUUAAUUCGCCUUUAAGAGAGAUAAGCAAAAAUACAUCUCUCUUCUAAUUUUCUACUGCCUUCUCUGUCUCUCCAAGUUGUUCACACUUUUUUUUCUUUAUGAUCACUAUGGAUCUUAUUUAAAAGGAAGUUCUCACAUGCUAAUAUUAGGCCAGUUGCCUUCUAUGCAAAGACAGAUUGAGAGAAGAGGGCCAGGAGAUAUAUUCAGAAUCUAUGUGGAAUGGCAAAUGUAUUUAUUUUUAUAAUUAAGUAGUAUUUGUGGGAAUGCUAUUUUUCUUUCCAAUUGACUAAGAUGUAUUUAAAAAUACAUGGACAGCAUUGGCUGAAUUUGAAAUUUCUGGUACUAUCAUAACUUUCAAGGAUUCAGUUGGAAGCAGGUAGCUAAUGAAAGUUUCCUUAGAUGAUAUGUCCAGGCAAUGGUCUUGACAAAAGCUUAAGCAGCACAGAGAGGUAGUCACCCUGCUUUAAUGGACACGGAUAUGGAUUUGAGUCAGAAAAGGCUCAAGAGUCAAGGGAAGCAGAGAACGGGGUCGAGUUACAGGACUGGACGCGGUGUCUCUACAGGGAGAGAAGGCUGAGGGACUCAUAAGAAAUAAGGAUUGUUAAAACUAAAUUUUGUUUGGGUGGAGGCUAUGAUAUAUAAUAAUUUCCUCUUUCAUUGACUCAAACUUUUCAUAUAACCUUCUGCCUAGCACACAAACUUCGAAUGGACAAGAGAUAGAUGCUUAAGAAGCCAAACUCAGGGGCCGGCCCCGUGGCCAAGUGGUUAAGUUCACGCACUCUGCUUCGGCAGCCCAGGGUUUCGCCGGUUCGGAUCCUGGGCACGGACAUGGCACCGCUCAUCAAGCCAUGCUGAGGCAGCAUCCCGCAUAGCACAGCCAGAGCCACUUACAGCCAGAAUAUACAACUAUGUACUGGGGGGCUUUGGGGAGAAGAAUAAAAACAUAAAAAAGAAGAUUGGCAACAGUUGUUAGCUCAGGUGCCAAUCUUUAAAAAAAAAAAUUAAAACCCUCUCCAAAAACAGUUUAAAAAAAAAAGGAAGCCAAACUCAAAGCAAGUAUCAUGUAACAAGACUGUAUCAGAAGUGAGAAAUUAGAGGAAAAUAUACACCCCUCCAAAAUUUCCUGAUAUGUUAGAAACAUUGUUCCGUGCCCCAGCAUAUAAACAAAAAAGCCUUGAAGAUAAUUGUAUUAAGAAAUGAAAAAGUAGAUGAGCCAAACAGUCUGGCGGAAUUGGGGACAUCCAGGUAAAUGACUUCUGGUGAACACUCAGGAUAGAAUCUUCUUAAAUUUGUUUCUCUCUGUCCUUAUCCCAUUCAUUCUGAAUUAGUGGAUUUCUGAAUCUGUGUGCAGUUUUCACAUCUGGCUUCUAUGAUAAGUAGUUUACAUUUAAUCUAGGAGACAGCAGGACACCAAUGAAGACUUUUGAGCCAGAGAUUCACAUAUAAUAGAUUUUGCAUUCAGGUUGCUGGACUUUCCAGGGUAAAACCAGAAAAUGUCUUUCUGAAUAUUUGGAUUAUAGAAAAAUAUAGGGAUUAAUAAGAGAGACAUUUAAGAGGCUGACUCAUUUUAUUUUUCACUUUCUAGAAGUAAAAACACAUAUACCACUAUCUAUUUCACAAACAUAAAAACAUCACUCUCUAGUGAAUGGAAUUACAAGAUUACAAAGAGAGCCCUCCAUUCCUUUACUGUGGUGAGUAGGUUUUCCCAGAUGGUUUUCUCCAUACCAGAGAAUUUCUCGUAGAAUCAGGACAGUGGUGAAGAGAAGUGGCCUGGUUCUCUACUGGAUGAUGAGAGAGAAGGCAGCUGCUUUUCUUCUUUUUUUGGUGAUAUACAGGAGGAAAACUUUUUCCAUCUUUCUUUCUAGGUUCUUUGGCUUGCCUCGUAAUUAAAUUGACAUCAGACAGAUUGACAGGAGAAAAACAAAUUUAAUUCUGUACAUACAAGCGCCCCACAAAGAUGUGACAGGCUCUCAGACAGUCAGAUAAUUGAAACCUAUAAGUCAUUCUGAGUUAAGGAGAAGGGAAGAGGGGUCUGAGGCUUCAAAGGGAAGGAAUACGAUUCACAGGAAGAUGGGAAGAGCAAAUAUUUGGUAAACAAACGGUUGCCAUGUCAUGCGCAUAAGUCUUUCUGAUAUAAGAAGUUAUCUCCGCUAAUGGCUCUCUUCCUGGUACAGGCUCCUUAUCUAAAUUAUUUUAGGCAGUUAAGAGACAAGUAAAAGCUGUUCUUGAGUCUGUUGAGCCUUGAUUGUCUUCAGCUUGAAACAAUCCACAUGCCAAAGUGGUACAUUCUGGGGUAGCCUGCCCUGAACUCCAUCAGUGAUUUUCCAUAAACAGAGAGUCAGAGAGACAAAGAAAGGAAGAAAGGAGGAGGAAAGAAGAAAAUUUUAAAAAUUUAAAAUAUAAAUUCCUACUUUGAGGAAAUUAGUGACAAUUCAGAGGUAUAUAUUCACUCUCUUUCUUUAACAAUCUAUUAACGUACACUGGUGUAGAUUUGAAUGCCAUUUUUCUAACAUUUGGAUUUUAAAAGAUAAAACCUUUCUCCUGGGAGCGCAAUAAUUGAUUCAAACCUGACCUGCCAUUGGUCCAGCUUGUAACUUCACUUCCCUUUUCCAAAUCAGAGUUUAAAUUAAUGGCGAAUUUGCUACAGUGACCCUUCUUAACUGUUUUCUUAGCAAAAUAGGGAUUAAAUCAUGUUGGAAAUCAUCUUUGGUUCUGGUGUUUGGCAAACUGCUACUGAGGAGUCUCUUCUUAUUAUUAACCAGACAUUGCUCUUUCUGGACUAUCGUUCACCCAAACAAGCUAGAAAAUACCACUUCCAGUCCACAGUCCCAGAGCCCACUUGUUUGGCUUCGGUUUUAUCUCCUAAGGACAAUGACAGCCUCUCUCUCUGGGUUGCAAAAAUUUGCUCUAUCUCUUUUGCCCUUGAUAGCGCAUAUCUCCACCCCAAUAUCAGAUUCUUUCAAAUGUAUCUUCUUAAAAAAUAUUUUUGCUGAUAGGGAUCUAAGGUUUUUUGAGUUCAUGAUGCACUUUUGUUAGAUAUAUAUUCUUAUCUCUAUCCACAGGAAAAAAUAAAAGCAACCAACUAGAAAAUUAAUAAACACAUGUAGUCCUUCAUUUGGGGGGAAAAAAGUUGAAUGUAUAUUUCUCAGUUCACCUCAUUGACUUUUCAAAAUGAUGUGUCACACUGUUCUCUAAAUACACACACACAGACACACACACACACAGGUGUAUAGAUUUCAUACUACUGUAUAGGAAUGCUGGUACUCUGAAAAGAAUAUAUAUAUGCCCACAUGACUUAUAUUUUAAAGCAUGCCAUCCCAAACGUAUCCUAACAAUUUGGCUAGGUAUUCAGCCAGCCAUAUCUGGGGUAAUGCAGUAAUACAUAAAGAUGGAUACAUAAUUUUAUUUAUAGAAAUUAUAAGACUCUUGAUAGGUAGAUACAAUUUCUCCGACCUUAUGGGAGUUCCCAGGGACAGCCAUAAACAUGGCAAGUGACCUUCUAUGUCAUUGAACACCGUAAACCCUUUUGAAAAUGAACACUAUCCCCACUGCUGGAGUAUUCUUUCUGAGAAAGACUGAAAAACUCAUACAUGAGGCAGAAGUGGUGGAAAAUUUAAGAAAAAGAAGAAGAAAAGGUAAAAAUUGUUCUACCAAAAUAUCUAAGCCAAUUUUGGGGGACUAGUAGCUCUCAAUGGUAAGGUAGCAGAAUCUUUUAGUAAGUACAGUGCGAGUUGAACCAAGGCAGUAAUUUUAACUUAAAAUGCCAGCAAUAUACAAUGCUAAUGCAAAUUGCCCAGCAGUGGCCAUGGAAACCUUUCACUUUAAAAUUACAGCCCUGCCUGCUGCAAAAGGUGUGAGUACAACUUCUCAACUUGCUGUUUUCCCUGCUCACAGCCCCUGACUCUAACCCCUUUCUAGCUGCUUCCAACUUCUCCCCUCUGAAAAAGUGGUCAUGUUUUCUGUCACAUUGUUCAUUGAAAUAUAAUUUCAUUAUUCUUUGCAUAAAAAAUUUCUCAAGCUUCACAGCAUAAAUUUUGUAACACCAAGAAAACUUUCAGGACUGUUUCCAAAUUUGGAAAUAUUUCGAUCAAGUUUUUUUCACAUAUGAGCUAUAAAUUUUCAAAAAGUAAGUUCUGGUUAUCUGAGCUUCAAACCUCAUCUCUACUAUAUUAUUCACUUACUUCCAGUGCUAAGCAUUUAGGAAUAUGUUCACUAUGCAGCAUGACCUUUGGCCCCACACCUUCAUGUCAGUUUGCCAGGUGAGUGCCAGGUCAAGGGUGAGAACAGUCCCAGAAGCCAUUUCUACACCAAGAUGACUAAUCAAAACACAUCUACACACAGAUAUGACUGUAGGCCCAGAAUUAUAUCCACUAAAUGGAAACUACAAAUAUCUCUCAUGCAACUGUCCCUCAGCUGGACUCUAAAAUUGCUGGUCUAAGGCCACUUGACAUGACAGGAAUGUGAUAUAGGAGAAGUUGGAGUUGAGGAGGCAGUGAUAGUAACCGGUUUUGCUUACAGUAUUUUCCUUUUGCAAAUUUAAAAAAUAUGUAUGUGAACAUGUGAUAACUGUGCUUCCCAGGGCCUGUGCCUUUGAUGCUCGUGCUUCAUCUCUUCUCCUGUGAGCACUGUGCCUUUUAGAUUUUAAUUGUGUAGGGGAGGAAAAAUAAUUUUCCCUCUACUCUUCUAGCUUCUUGGCUGAAAUCCCCUGUAAUAAAAGACAGAUUAACAGGAGAUGUUACAAACAGAUGUUUAGCAAUUUGUUUACCUCCUGCGUACAUGGGAGAUACCCAGGAAAACGGAACUACUCCCUAAAAUGACCCAAGCCACCACUUAAAUAUUACUUCCAGCUUAAGACAAAAGAUGCUGCAGGGGGCAGGAGCCAAUUAUGUAUGGGAGGUUACCAUGCAAAGCACAAUAAACAAGGGUAUGGUUGGUAUGCAGAUUUAAGUCACUGCCUUCUCCAUUGAUAAGUUUCUAGAGAUUUAGUCAUCCUUCUCUUCCUGGUACAAAGAGGGUGACACCCUUACAAACACAUUGAGGUGUUGCCUAAUGACAAGGAUACGUUCUGAGAAAUAUGUCAUUAGGUGAUUUCAUUGUUGUGUGAACCUCACAGAUGUACUUAAUCUAGAUGGUAUAGCCUACUACACACAUUAGGGGAUAUGGCACCAAUCUUAUGGGACCACUGUUGUACAUGUGGUCCCAUCAUUGACUGAAAAGUCAUUACGUGGUGCAUGAUUGUAGAGAUUUCCCUUAUAAAUGCAAAUUUCUCUUACAAAAGGGUAACUUCUACUUGGUGUUCAGAAUUUCUCCUAUGCUUAUUGUUUCUUAAAAAAUAACAAGCCCAAAUUAAUCAAUAUGCCAAAGAGGCAUAUUUUGGAGAGGAUGGAGCAAAAAGACUGGACAGGGUUCUGUUCUAAUGUACACUGGGUGGCUUAGAGUUGGAAUUGAUUUAAUGACUAACAAAAAAUAGUUUCUACCCUUUCAGUUGGUAUUAAAGCUUUACAGUCUUUAGAGACUUUGAUAGGCAUCCUCUAGACCUAUACUGGCCGGUUCCUGAUUCCUAAAACCAGACUAGAGCAUGAGUUCUGUGAGGGCGGCAUCUUAGUCCUGCUGGGAGCUGUAUCCCAAGUGCCUAUAGAUACUUGGCGUUAGAGUCAGUACACCAGAGACUGGUGAGCAAGUGAGUGAAUUGUGUCUAUCCUCAUUUUAACAGAAAAGCACCUGGCUCUCUGAAAUUUAUUUAUUUAUGUCCCUGUAUUAAAUCCUUCCAAAACAGCAGCUGUAACUAAGUGAUUUUUCACCUGGCAAAUAUUGGCUUGCCUAGAGACACAGUCUUAUGAGGUCCUUCCACUCUCACCACAAUCGUGGAGCACCUACUAAGUAAAACUUACUUUUAGGCAAGGAUGAGUGCUAAUAUUAGAAAUAUAUAUCUAUGAUGGAUCAAUGAAUUCUGUUGAGAAGAAUAAUACCAAAAAAUUAGGGUUGUCAAAAGAGGGGAAAUGUACCUAAAAGUCUGUGUCUUCCUGGUCACUUUUAGAUCUUUGAAGGUAUGAAAUUACGUUUCUUGAAGAAAUCUGGGAGAUAGGUUCUUAGCUAGUUUUAACAUUGAAGAACAAUAAAGCUGAGAAAAGUUAAAUAACUUGCUCAAGUUCUCAGUGAGUAAGCCAUGAAGCUGAGAAUUUUACUAAGGACUCUGGUUCCUAAACCCAUGAUCACGUUUCCUGCCAUAAAUGAAACUUAUGGAUGGUAUGGCAAGCAAAUCCAUUAUGCCUUCCAGUCUUUGUUAAGCAGAAUCUUUCCUAGGCUACUAAGAAAAUGACCUAUAUCAGGAUUUGUUCCUUCUGACUGUGCUCUUUAUUUUUUAGAAGGGCAACCUCUUACUUGGGGAGCCCCCAAAUAUUAAUUUUGGGGAAGGUAUCUUCAAUAGAAAGAUAUAUCUAUGUUACUUCCAAGCUUAUGGACUUUCAAAUCACAGGCUGAAAUAAAUAAGACAUUUCACUUGGAGAUAAUAAGUGGAAGAUGAAAAAAGAAGAAAGAAUUCAAGUAGGGAGGAGAGCGGAGGGCUGAAAGCCAUGAAGGAGGGAAGGUAUGAGACCCGAGUCCAGACAAGAAGACAGCCCAGGGACUGCUGUAAGGGGCGCCAGGGAAGGUUGGUAACGGGCUCAAAGCUUUAGAGGAGAUUACCCUAAAAGUAAAAGAAAUAUAACAUAUUGACAUAAAAUUAUAGACAGUUCUCAAAAAAGUUUUUUUUUCAAACUACUGAGAAAAACAGCUGGAAGGUGGAAGAGACAGAAGAAAGCAUACAUUUCCCAAGAGUAAGUGAAUGAUGUGCAUAAAAUAAGAUCACACUGGCCUUAGUGAUCAGAGAGACAGGUGAAGCUGAGGAACACCAUGGAGAGAGCAGAGCCGCGCUCAGCUUACCCGGGCGGUGUCUGCUGAAGUCACGCUCUCAGGACUUUCACUCUGGGAAGUAAACGGCUAGAGUCAUCAUUCCCUGUAGUGCUCCUGGAGACACCGAGGCCCAGUGUCUUCUCUUUGCAUUGUAUUGUACAGCCUUUUAAUUGUAUUCAAAUGUAGUUUUCUUUAAUUACAAUUAAAUUAUAGAGCAUACAAAUACAGACACAUGUACCGCAGGCAGUAUUUUUAGGAAGAAAGAGAAGACAGUAUUUCAUUGACUGAAAAUUGACCUUACCAGCUGGUUACUAUGACUCUUGAGGCAAAAUUCAGUGAAGGCAAGGGUAUGUAUCCUGUGCAUAAACUCUAACCAUCUGGCAUUUCCUCCGUUUCCUCCAAGCUAUAGAACUCAUUGAAGGAUGAGUCCGUAAUCUUUCACCAGCAGCCUGAAAGACCCCAGAGAAGAGAGGUUAGGAUAAACCAGGCCAAUGACAAUGGAUGGGCAAAAUCCUCUCCUACAACACGAUAUUCGUGUUAUGUUGUGUAUAUGCAUGUUGUUGAAAGCUGCUAUAAAUCCUUCUGGGAAGUAGGCAGGGUAUAAAUUAUGGGUUAAUAUACAGGCCUGUCUGGGAGUCAGAGGUGCCAUAUGACAGCUUUACUCCCACUCAGAGUGUGACAUUUGGUUACUGCUCCGUGUCUCUGAGUUCCUAAAAUCAGGAAAGAAAUAGAACAUAGAACACUGAACAUCAAACACUGACGUGUAAUAAAUGAUAUAAAAAGACACCUGACAACCCUCUGUAAGUUACGGCAACUCGGAAGCCCUCUUCUCACUGCCCACUGUCCACAAGGGGUCUCUCAACUUCAGCUACUCCUUGGAUCUUCCACUCCUCAUCGCAAGCAGGAAUCAAUCUAGCACAGACUUUCUCCUCCUACAUAAACAGAGUUUACAAAGGGAAGCUUGGGGUUUUGGUCUCCUUUGCUCCUUUUUUAAUAGCUUUCUGGGGUCAGUGAGCAGAUGCAUCACAACUGCCUACCUGGCCAAAUAGCGCUGUGUUUCCAGGCCCGCCUUAAAGGCCUUCAGGGGAAUCUCCUUCCAUUUAUUGAGAAGCUAUUUGAAUAAAGUCCUUUUCAUCACCCCUGACAACCCUGUCACAAGAACAGUAAAACACAUUGUAUUUAUUCAUUAGGAAACAAUAGAUACAACCUAGGGAACCAUAAGUGAAUUUCAUUGUCAGCAUGAGUCUGUAAUAGGCCAUCUCUUGGGGAUUUACUUUUUUCUUGAAAUACUCAGCCCAGUCUUAUGUUGAGAAAAUAUGUGAAAGUAAGUCCCAAUAUUUUAGCUUUUUAAAUUAAGGUUAAAUUUAUAUCUCUUAUUUUACCCUGUUUCUAAUUCAACACAAAUUUACCAAUAUCUAAUAUAAUCAUCAUGUGAGGCAUCAUGUGAGGCAUUAGAAAUGUAGGGAUGAAUAAGGCAAACAUUUUAAUUUAAAUGGAUAGUUGGCAACUGAUAGCCGAAAAGGUAGAAAGGAAAAUAAAUAAAAAUUCACCAGAAAAAAUUAGGGCCAGAAUGAAUGCAAUAUGAGGUGAGACUAUGGUCAGAAAAGAGGUGGCAAAUUAAUUUUGCUUGGGAGAGAGACAGGGAAGCGUCUUUGAAAGGAAUGUCUUACAGGAUGAGGGAAAUUUUCUCCAUGGAUAGUGAAAGUGCUGUAGGAGGAAGGGUGGAAUAUUCUAGUCAGAGAGAGUAACAAUGGCAGAGAUGUGGAAGUGGGAGAGUUGACAGAAAAUUUCGGGAAUGAUAGCAAUUUGGUACCAUUAAAGCAAAAGGUUGCUCAACAGAGACAUGGCAAGUAAGAAGCUGAGAAGGUGGAUUGGGGUAACCUUGUAAACAGACUGUGUACCAACCUAAGGGUCUGGGCAAUGAUGACUCAUGCUGAUUUUUAAGUAGACUUAGUAGAUGUUGCUCACUCAGCAAUUGUCCCCUCCCUCCCACUCUACCUUCUUGUUCUUCCAACAACUGCACUACAGUAUCCUUUGGAGACCCUCUCCCCUACUUACUGUCAGCAUGCUUCAGGUGAAGAGGGGAUCUCUGGCUUUUUGCUCCAGAGUGGGCAUGUGAACUACGCCUGUCAGCCAGAAUAUUUCACCUUCAUGACAACAGUGAUUGGAUGAGGGAUGAGUAAAAGUGAUUCAGGUUUGUUCAGAGAGAAUUUGCUAGAGGGAUCAAUGAACAGAGUCUAAAGUGUCGACGAAUAUAAUCCAUAACCAAUCUAUAAAUGAAAAUUUGGGUGAGUUUAUUCUGAGCUUAAAUCUGAGGAUUAUAACCUGGGGCCUUUCUUCCCGAAGGAAGAAAGGGCACCAAAGAAGUGGGGUGCACAGACUGGUUAUAUACCCCCAGAGAGGAUGUUUCACAUAGGAUUGAAAUGUCCCUUUUACAGUAGUUGCGAGACUGCUCUGUCGGCACAGCGAUUGAUGGAAACAGCAGGUAGGUCUUCUGUCUCAGUGAACACAGCAGGGUGGCAGUCUGUUGUCUCCAGCUGAGUGGUCACAGGUGAGCUGGGUGGUCAGAGGUGAGUGCAGCAAUCAGUUCCUAGCCUAAGGAAAGAUGCUUAUCCCUAAGGAAAUGCUAAUGUGGGGGGAAGUUGCACCUUUAUCUCAAGGGCCUUUGUUCUGGCCAUAGGAAAUGUCUAAGCAGAUAUGCAAUGGUGCUCAAUAGCCACAGUCAGGCCCUUUUGGAAAAAACAAAGUCAGGCCGAAUUAGGUUUAUACCAAAUGGCUUCCUCAUAUACUCCAAUAUAUCCUAUUGCUUGCCAUUUUUAUUUGUCAAAAGUUAGAAAGAGACUGAGUAAUGACUAAAUUCAGCGAUACCUAAUACAGAAAUAAACCUGAAAUUUUAAGAUUGAGUUGAACUUCUUUCAUCUUCAACUAAGAAUUCCUGAUAAAACAUCACACACAUGUACUUUUUACAUAUAUGUUUUAUAUAGGUCACUAUUACUCUGACACCAGAAGGAUAUAUUACCGUAAAAGAGAGUGGAAGAAGGGACAUCUGAUAAGCCAAUGUUACUGGCAAAGCUUUGAUGAGGGCCUAGAUUAAGACAGCACCCCUAGGGUUGGAGGAUGAAGGCCUCACCUUUGUAUUGCUCUCUCUUGGAUUCCCAGCCCCCAGCUCAAGUCCUAACACAUAGAUAGUACUCAAAUUUACUGAAUGAAUGACCAGGGCAUGAAUUCAAGAUAGAGAAGCUUAUGAGAGGUAUAAGUAAGGGUGAGGGAAGACAAGGAAUUUAAUAAGAUGCUCAUAUUUCUAAUGAGGACACUAGAUAGACAUAAGUGGCAUUAUUCAAGCUGGUUACAAGGAGAAGCUAAUAGAGGUAUGGUGGGAUAGUAGCAAAUGAAGAAUACAGUUUUACAUACUUUGAGUCAGUGUUAGUUUUUGGCUUUUGAUUUAUGUGAUUAAUCUUCUUUACCAUAUGCUUAGAUAUUUAAAAAAGCAGAACUCUAUAUACACCUAUUAAAAUCUUACCUUUUAGAUGUGUCCCAAAGGCAAUCUCAUCCAUGGAAUUUUACCCAAUGUUCCAAUCUAAAGUGAUACCAUUUUAUCAUAAAUCCUCCAAUAAUUUGUAAUUAUUUAUUUUAACACACUUCUCAUAUGUUGAUUUUUUGCACUCGCAAGAGUCGGUUUCUUGCUCAACUGCAGCUCCUUAAGCUCAAGAGCAGUUUUUCAUUCUUCUUCACGUCUCCCAGAGUUUCUAGAAAAGUGCGUGGCAAUUGAAGAUUCUCUCCAAAUAUUUGUUUAAAAAAUAACGCUUAGAGGGGCCAGUCCAGUGGCGCAGCAGUUAAGUUCGCAUGUUACCCUUCAGCGACCUGCGGUUCACCGGUUCAGAUCCUGGGUGCAAAUCUAUGCACCGUUUGUCCAGCCAUGUUGCGGUAGGCAUCCCACAUAUAAAGUGGACGAAGAUGGGCAUUGAUGUUAGCUCAGGGCCAGUCUUCCUCAGCAAAAAGAGGAGGUUUGGUGGUGGAUGUUAGCUCAGGGCUAAUCUUCCUUAAAAAAAAUAUUAAAAUUAAUAAAUAGAUAAAUAACAUUUAGAGACUUUUGAAGUUAUGAGGUGCUUACUAAGUACGCUUCUCAGAAAGAAGUUAAUUAAACCUAUUUAUCUCACUUUUAUUUUUAGGAGCAAGCUUUCACUUUAAACUAUAUCUAGAACCACCAUACUUCCUACUGUAAAAUGUGCUCCCCUAACGCCCCACUCUCUCUCACCCUGCUCUGUAAUUUUUCUAAAACAACUUCUAUUAUAAGACAUAAUUUAUUUUUAAGCAUUUUGGUAUUUUAUAUUGUCUUUAUCAUCCAAUUAGACUGUAAACUUUAUGAAACUGGUAUCUUUAUUGUAUUCAUUGAGAUAUUUUAAGCAACUAGAACAGAGACUUGUACAUAGUAAACACAAAUAAAUGAAUCACCUGGAUGUCAUUUAUUUAUUUUAUUGGUGACCUGCACUUCCUAAGACUCCAACCUCUCCUGCCUCCGGCGGGCACCACUGAUGUGGUCCGUGUAAGAUCCUCCCUGGGAACUGAGCAAGGCACGGCCACCAGGGUUCUCGGGAGAUGCUCUGCAAAGCCACUAAACUAUGAGGCCCAUGAAAGUAGGAAUUUGUGUCUGUUUUGUUUUCUGCUAUAUCCUCAGAUCUUAGAAUUACUUCCGAAACAUAAUAGAUAGUCGUUAAAUUAUUAUUUAGUAAGGAGUGAAUAAAUGAAUAGAGUACACGACUCCAUUAUAAAAUAGUAGAAGAAUGAGACCUCUCAAAGGCUUAGACACUGUAAAUGUGAGACUAACUGCCAUUAACAGAGUGAAACAGAUACUAGAAAAGGAACCUGUCUAUUUUCAGUCAAAUAAUAGUCAAGAUCAGUACAGCAAAAAUGAAAGCUGAUGAUUCAGUUGAAAGAGUGAAAACCAAGAACAUCUAUCCAUAAAUUUAAUAUUCUUUUUUUCCUCGUUCACUGAAAGUAUACUUAAUCGACGCUAACAGUCAUUGGUAAAGGAGGAAAGAAAAGGGAAUAUAAAAUUUAUAAAAUGCCAAUUUCUGAGCACAGAUGGGGAUCAAAAAAAGAGAGAUUCCACGAACAAAAGCCGCAAGAAACAGAAUGAAUUAGACAUGUGUUGUCUGCUGGCUGUUCUGUAGACUUGUGUUCGCAAAGGAGGCUGUGGGUAAGACUGACAGCUGCUUUGGUUUCCUCUGUCAACAGUAGUGAAUAAACACAGAGAAAUCUUAGGUAUGCCAAAGCAAAACUUCUGGAAAAAGAAAGGAAUAUAUUAUGCAGUGCAAAAUAUGAUCCACACAAACAUGCGGGUGCACACACACACUGUAACAAACUAUUUCAACUUAAUGCCUGAAUUUUGAAUAAGAAAGAGCUUUAUUCAUGAGGAGGUUGCACAUUCAUGAGCAGGUUGCAUUCAGCAAAGAAGAGUAACA